ACCCACCCACAGCCAGCCAGCUGAUGAGCCCAGCACAUCUUGCUUUUCUUGGGCACUACUGGGAUGAGAGCACAGGCACGUUCUUCAUACAGCUGAGGCAGAGCAGAACAUCCAGCAGCCAAACAUGACCAGCUGAGCAUGGAAGAUCUUCAAGCAAUAGAACAAGAAGAAAUGGACCCAAGCUGCACCAGGGAAGGUUGAGAUUGGAUAUUAGGAAAAAAAUUCUUAAUGGCAAGGGUUAUCAUGCUUUGGAAUCGGCUGCCCAGGGAAGUGCUGAAAUCAUCAUCUCUGGAGUGUGUUCCAAGCCACUGCAGAAUCACAGGACAGCCCAAGCUGGAAGGGACACAGAAGGCUACAGAGUCCAGCUCUUCAGUUAAUUGCUCAGGUAGGGAUUGAAC